CCUACGGGAGGCAGCAGUGGGGGAUAUUGCACAAUGGGGGAAACCCUGAUGCAGCGACGCCGCGUGGGUGAAGAAGCGCCUAGGCGCGUAAAGCUCUGUUAGCAGGGAAGAAAAUGACGGUACCUGAAGAAGAAGCCCCGGCUAACGACGUGCCAGCAGCCGCGGUAAUACGUAGGGGGCAAGAGUUAUCCGGAUUUACUGGGUGUAAAGGGGGCGCAGGCGGCGAUGCAAGCCAGGAGUGAAAGCCCGGGGCUCAACCCCGGGACUGCUCUUGGAACUGCGUGGCUAGAGUGCAGGAGGGGCAGGCGGAAUGCCUGGUGUAGCGGUGAAAUGCGUAGAGAUCAGGAAGAACACCAGUGGCGAAGGCGGCUUUCUGGACUGAAACUGACGCUGAGGCACGAAAGCGUGGGGAGCGAACAGGAUUAGAUACCCCGGUAGUC
rnacentral:rRNA from 1 species